UAUUCAUAUUUACUAAUAAGAUUGUAAAUAUAAUCUUAGGUCCCUGAAAAACUAAGUUCCGGCCCUGCGUCAAACAGCGCGUGCCUUCCUGUACGCAUCCGGAAACGGUGGCGUCUCACGAGCUCAUUUACGCUCGUCUACAAGCCGGAAGCGUGGAUCCACUGAGGCACCCAAACUCUUCCAGGUGAAGUCAGCUUUUCCAGGUGUGUGUGAAUGGCUUUCUGUCUUGGCCUUGUUGUGGACUGGAGACAUGAAGCUCUCUGCAUCUCCCCUGAUGCAUGCUGGGAUAUAAGCUCCAGCCUCCCUGCAUCCCUCAACAGAAAUAUACUAGAGAUCGUGUUUACUUUAGACUAACCCGGGCUCUUUCUGGAGCCGCGGUGAGUUUAGAGGAGGCACCUGCGCCCUGGAUUUACAACCUCACUCCAUCUUGAGAGGAUUUAUGCUGACACCGCCUGACUUCAGAGUAAUUCAUCCUCAUAAAAAACGACGACCAGAAAUGAGGGAAGGAAGGUGAAAACAAAGGCAGGGUCGUGCUCAGCCAGAGGAGGCAGCUUUCUGCAUCCACUGGGCCCUGAAGAAGCAUCACUUUGCACAAUAAUGGAAAAAGCUUUGCAGAAAUGUUUAGGACACUCUCCUUUCCCUCCACUUCUGUGUCCCCUAUCCCAUCCUAAUCUUGUUUUGAGACUUUUUAUAAAACCAAAAUUUUAAUAAUCUUACAUACAAAUGUGCAUUUUUUCACAAUAUGGAACUUUAUUCCUGUGAGAUUCAAAGCUCAAGUUAACUGUAUGACACUGAGUUUCACGGAGAUUAAACCAUCUAAUUAAUUUAAAGCUUGACGCCUGAUUUGUGUACUCUCUCUCUAUGUAUAAUUCAAAUGUAAUCUGUGCAGUCCUGCUGCAUUCUCCUGCAUACCCUUGACACUGCAGCACAGGCAGAUGCAUUCAUAACUUCCUACAUCAAAGUCAUCGUGCAGCAGUUGGAACGUCUUCCGAAUGUUUCCUGAUUUCAUCCCACUGCACCAGGACCCUCAGUUCCUCCUCGUGCAAACCCGUCCGGUCGUAACUAAGUGUUCUCAUCCGCUCUCACUUUACCUCCUGCUAUUACCACGUACGACGGACAAAACCCAGCGCUGGAAAACAUAAGUUACAUAAAAGAGAAGGGCACAAGAGCACAAGCAUCCUCUGGUGAGAGGUGCAGGACCUGCCACCGUCCCGUCCCGUCAUCCAACAAUCUCCCCGCAUC